rnacentral:rRNA from 1 species
ACAACGGAUCUCUUGGUUCUGGCAUCGAUGAAGAACGCAGCGAAAUGCGAUAAGUAAUGUGAAUUGCAGAAUUUAGUGAAUCAUCGAAUCUUUGAACGCACAUUGCGCCCAUUAGUAUUCUAGUGGGCAUGCCUGUUCGAGCGUCAUUUCAACCCUUAAGCCUUUGUUGCUUAGUAUU